UCAGCUCGUGUCGUGAGAUGUUGGUUAAGUCCGUAACGAGCGCAACCCUUGUCCUUAGUUACCAGCACGUUAUGGUGGGCACUCUAAGGAGACUGCCGGUGACGAACCGGAGGAAGGUGGGGAUGACGUCAAGUCAUCAUGGCCCUUACGGCCUGGGCUACACACGUGCUACAAUGGUCGGUACAAAGGGUUGCCAAGCCGCGAGGUGGAGCUAAUCCCAUAAAACCGAUCGUAGUCCGGAUCGCAGUCUGCAACUCGACUGCGUGAAGUCGGAAUCGCUAGUAAUCGUGAAUCAGAAUGUCACGGUGAAUACGUUCCCGGGCCUU
rnacentral:rRNA from 1 species